UCAAUAACACAAAAACAAAUUGUUUCAUUUUUUUUCCCACAGGAGCAAUAUGCAUGAAGCUAACUGACGGUGGGAUCAAAUUGCUUCUUUCAGCUUGUUCCUUUCACCUUACCGCGACCAUCCACUACGCACAAACAACAGCAAAACCACACCAUAACACUCCAGUGCUAUCAGACCGAGGUAUGUGAUUACAUGCAGAAAGUGUUUUUGUGUGUUUCCUGUCAAACUGGGGAAUAAUACGAGGAGCAGGCAGACUGAUGCAAGCUCAGGUCACCAAAUCAGGCUAUUUUUAAAGCCCAGCAGACUUUACAUAAGCGUUAUUCAUCAAGCAGCUUUUACAGAUAUGACUUCAGUGGCCCAGUAAGGAUUGGCUGGACACAACACCCACAUCAAAACAUCUGCUCUUCUCUGUGAGAGGGACUAAAGAGAAAUGCUUUCCCAUGAAGGGCAGUGCAUUUGAAAGCCUCGUGCCAUGGUAAGUGAUCAUUUGAUUUUAAUAACAAAUAUCAGUCAAUAUCAGUUGCAUCUCCACUGAGAGCACUGAAAUCAAGAUAGCCCUUUGUGGAGGCUUUCUGCCACACAGUUAUCUGAUGUAUUAGAGGGAUUUUUUCCCCCCUCUCUUUCUCUCUCUCUCUCUCUCUCUCUCUCUCUCUCUCUCUCUCUCUGAGAUAAAGAAACAUUGAUUCGGCAUGCUGAAAUUAAUGCAAGACAGAGGAGAAAGACAGAGAGGAAGACACAAAAACAAGUCUGAAUCAGCUAGAAAGGGCAGCAGAGUGGAACAUUUGACUAACAAGCAGUUUUUGAACGCACUUUGCUGUUGUCUCCGUAGGAACGCGUUGCCUUUCGAGGUCCCAUACAUCUAUCGAUCCUGCAUGGCUGAUGGAGAUGUCAAGAAAAGAGGGGGCAGACCUAAAGGACGAGUCAAAGAGACGAUGGUGGUGGAGAUACUACCAAUAUCAGUGGUGCCACAACAUCUGAUCCAGCCAGUGCAAGGAUCCUAA
rnacentral:lncRNA from 1 species